rnacentral:rRNA from 1 species
GGGAUUGCCCCAGUAACGGCGAGUGAAGCGGCAACAGCUCAAAUUUGAAAUCUGGCCCCAGGCCCGAGUUGUAAUUUGCAGAGGAUGCUUUUGGCGCGGUGCCUUCCGAGUGCCCUGGAACGGGACGCCACAGAGGGUGAGAGCCCCAUCUGGUUGGACACCAAGCCUAUGUAAAGCUCCUUCGACGAGUCGAGUAGUUUGGGAAUGCUGCUCUAAAUGGGAGGUAUAUGUCUUCUAAAGCUAAAUACCGGCCAGAGACCGAUAGCGCACAAGUAGAGUGAUCGAAAGAUGAAAAGCACUUUGAAAAGAGGGUUAAAUAGUACGUGAAAUUGUUGAAAGGGAAGCGCUUAUGACCAGACUUGGGCCCGGUGAAUCAUCCAGCGUUCUCGCUGGUGCACUUUGCCGGGCACAGGCCAGCAUCAGUUCGCCGCGGGGGAUAAAGGCUUCGGGAAUGUGGCUCCCUCGGGAGUGUUAUAGCCCGUUGCACAAUACCCUGGGGCGGACUGAGGUUCGCGCAUCUGCUAGGAUGCUGGCGUAAUGGUCAUCAGCGACCCGUCUUGAAACACGGACCAAGGAGUCGUCUUCGUAUGCGAGUGUUCGGGUGUAAAACCCCUACGCGUAAUGAAAGUGAACGCAGGUGAGAGCUUCGGCGCAUCAUCGACCGAUCCUGAUGUUCUCGGAUGGAUUUGAGUAAGAGCAUACGGGGCCGGACCCGAAAGAAGGUGAACUAUGCCUGUAUAGGGUGAAGCCAGAGGAAACUCUGGUGGAGGCUCGCAGCGGUUCUGACGUGCAAAUCGAUCGUCAAAUAUGGGCAUGGGGGCGAAAGACUAA